UGAAGAGUGUUGUGUGUUUUUAAAAGAGUCAGGUAUUCUGUUCCCAUUCCAGUGGGAUUCAAACAUAGUAUCCUGUCAGAAUCCCAGCCUAAAGCUUUGACUGAGGUCUUUCAGCCCCAAGAUGUUUGUCUGUCUGUUUUUGCCAUAAUUUCCAAGCCUUUUGACCAUUACAAAGAUAUUUAAGGGAGCUCUGGAAAUCUGUUUUUUAUGGUUCCAUAAUUUAAUGAAGAAGAGGGAUGCCUUAUUGCCACUGCUAAUGCAGAAGGUGCAGGCACACAAGGUACUGCUGUCUGAGCUUGUCCUUUCUCACAAUGCAGUCAAUCCCACAUGAGUCUCAAAUCAACCAGAAAUGAGGGUUCACUCUUUCAGCUGCCGGUGAUACCACUGAUUCCCUGCUACAGCACGUUUGGCUUCAGCUCUGAGAGGGCUGGGCUAUGUGUUAAGAGGGUCUGCAGUCUGUUUUUUUAUUCUAGAUACUAGCUCUAUGGUUUCUUCUUCCGGCUGCAGGCACCAGAUAAUUCAAAGGUCUUUAGAAAUCAGACCCCAUUUUUGAGUUGUGUCAGUAAUAUAAUGGUCUGUUUAAAAGCAGUAUAUGUGUCUGAGGCAGUGUAGUCUCCAUAGAGAGCUGGAAGCAAAAGCAUGCUUGGUAAAUGUAACCUGGUGCUCAGUUGAGUGUAUUCAUUUCAGGAAAGGAGGUAUUUCAAUGAAUAUCUUGCACAUCUUAAAGUAACACCAUGAUUCUAUGCUAAGUGUUCACUAUUUUGUUUCUAAUUAGUAGUAGUACCUUCUUAGAAUAGAAAUAAAAAUUCCUGACCUACUGGAUUUAUUGCUAUCAAUUUAGGUAGGUUGCAUACUGUUCUUUCUGGAGCCAGUAGUGCUAAACAGGAAGAUCUUAUUCAUGUUUCUUCAGGAUAUUGUAAACAGAUAUGUAAAUACUUAUAAAGCUAUAAAUUACUCUUACCUGUAUAACCACAGUUCAUCUUGGGAUUAGUCUGGAGAAACAAAAGUGUAAAGCACACAUCUCUGAUUCAUCUGCCAAAUAUGUUGGUAAAGCCAUCCAUUUGUUGUGAAAUUCUUCUGGUUACGUGGUUCAGCUUGUACAUGCAGUUUCCUCAUCUGUGCACACACUUAUCAGAUCUGUGUGGACAAAACAGAUGUUUGCACAGUCUUUACGGAGAGUUCAUCUGUAUGUUUUCCUUAUUGCUAUGAUCAAAAUGUCAAGACGGACAGUCAACUUUUCACGUGUACACACUGUUCCAGGGUUUGACAACAUUAUCAGUGGGAGCAUAUAAUCAUCUGCACCAUCAUGUUUUGUUUUCUGUAGGCUUCUGCGUAGUGUAGCCCUUAGGUAUAUCUUCUUCAGUGCACAUCUGUUAAGUAUGUAAAAGUCAAGUAUGUGGCCAUGUUCUCUACACUGUGUUUUCUAAUUCAGACUCCCAGACUAAGCCUGUAACAACAAGCUGUAUUCUGUCUCCUGAUAGAACAAAAGCCACUAUUUGCUGCAAAUACAUUUGUUUGUCUUUACUGAAGGUGGUGAACUUGCGGCCAACGUGAAAAUUAUCUCACCACUGAAAGAACUCUGUGAAUUCAAAACUCUCAUGAUGUGUGUUUUAGCUGGAAUGACAAGUGGAAAGAACGCAAUGAGCUUAAACACCUGGUAGAUGGUGGUUCUUCAAAUAAUAUGAAGGUUAUGUAUGCUGUGCUCCAAGCUGUCAGUUUUGACCUGAACUUUGAAGAAUUUUUCAGAACUCCAUAUAACAUGAAAGUCUGUUAUUUCAGUUUGUUCCUCCAGGUCUGCACUCUUCCAUCCCAGAUUCAUCCUUCUGUACUAAUCUUUUCUGUUAGGAGGGACACCUUGUUCAUAUCUCCUCCUCCUCACUCCCCUACUCCAGCCUCCUCCACUGCCCUUGGCCUUAGAUCACAAAUCAUGUUUACAUAAGAAGUGUGUACUCUGAUCAUUUAUUCUGCUACUCAUGUCCCAUGUUUUCCUGAGAAGGCCUGCAUUUGUGUCCCUCACCUUCCACUUCCUUGGUACCAUUACUUUGGAAAGUAAGAUGUUUGUGAGGAGAUGCAACUGUAAGCUCUAUUGGGAAGAUGGAAUGGGAAAUUAUGAGGGAGUGAUACUGUUAUUUCAGAAAGUGUUAAUGAAUGCUGUCAGCCAAACCCUUGACUUAAGAGAGAGGGUGGGAGCAACAAGCAAGUGAUGAAGGCUCGAUGUGUUCUCCAUUACUGUCAUUCUCAUUUUCCUUAGCUGAGAGCAUCUGGAAUAGUCUCCAACACUUUUAACUGAGUAAAUGCAGCAUUCCCAAGCUGUUGUGUGACAGACAAACAGAUGAACCUACAAAGAAAUGCCAUGAAGUUGACUGCGUGGAUUCACAAGCUCAUUCAAUUAUUCACAACUAGAAAAAUAAUGUUACAUAAAUGGUCAAGAUUUUUUGAGGGAAGAACCUGGUAGGAAAGACACCAAAGACUAAAUUUGCAUUGCAUCCCAUGGAUUCACUACAUUUUUCCCACUACAAAAUGCAAACUAGACAUUGGCUAUGAAUGUAGAGGCUGCUCACUUCUUACAGUGAAAAAGAAAGCCAGAAUUUUGCAACCCAAACAGGAAACACAAUGAGCCAGGGAGAAGAAUGGAGCAUGCUUAUCUGGUUGUUUCAGAGUCUUCUGGGAGGAAGGAACGGGCGAGCAGAUCAAGAGAUCCAUUCCAGCUUGGGCCAUCUAAGGAUUUGACCUUUGGAUUCCUGUCUGUGUUAGAGUGCCUGCUGCCACUGCUGUCCUAGCACUUUGCCACUGCCUUUGUUGCAAGGAGCUGAGUAACAUCAUGAUCUGUGCGACUGAUGCUCAGCGAUUUGGAAGCUUCAUUCUAUGAAUUGUGGUUAAUAACAUCACUAUAGCAUCACAUCUAUAUGGAAGGGACAGCAUUGUUGUUUUAUGCAAUUUUAGUUAACAGUCCUCAAAUUCAGAUCCUACUUGAACACAAAGUGAAAAAUAAUCAUGUGCUUUGCUAGCUGGUCCUGGUCCUGUGGGUAACUGCUGGAUUUUCUGACACCAUCGAGUGCUUGAUUUGCAUCUUCUUUUAUGUGGUACCACAAAACCGUCCGUAGGCCUAUGUGGUAAGGAUUCUUCAUAGAAGAGAAAUGUUCAUUUGGCCAUUUACAUAAGUUUUCAGUUUGUGCUGGUUUAUCAGAAGUGAUAGUACUGGGGGUCUGGAAUAUGGGUUCUCG